rnacentral:rRNA from 1 species
AUUGAACGCUGGCGGCAGGCCUAACACAUGCAAGUCGAGCGGAUGAAGGGAGCUUUCUCCUGGAUUCAGCGGCGGACGGGUGAGUAAUGCCUAGGAAUCUGCCUGGUAGUGGGGGAUAACGUCCGGAAACGGGCGCUAAUACCGCAUACGUCCUGAGGGAGAAAGUGGGGGAUCUUCGGACCUCACGCUAUCAGAUGAGCCUAGGUCGGAUUAGCUAGUUGGUGGGGUAAAGGCCUACCAAGGCGACGAUCCGUAACUGGUCUGAGAGGAUGAUCAGUCACACUGGAACUGAGACACGGUCCAGACUCCUACGGGAGGCAGCAGUGGGGAAUAUUGGACAAUGGGCGAAAGCCUGAUCCAGCCAUGCCGCGUGUGUGAAGAAGGUCUUCGGAUUGUAAAGCACUUUAAGUUGGGAGGAAGGGCAGUAAGUUAAUACCUUGCUGUUUUGACGGUACCAACAGAAUAAGCACCGGCUAACUACGUG